UAAACAGUCCUGGGAAUGACCACAGUUACAAUCCAGUAGGUAAAAUCCUGCCUAGCAAGAGGUGCUGACAAAGCACUUUGGAUUUGGGAAGGCAAAUGGAAAAGGGUGACUUCCUGAUAUACUGAUUUGUGUUUUUAUUUUUCCUGAUUCACAAAGGAAGGCAGACUUUUUCUCAACUGCUUCAGCACAAAGUACAUCUUUCUUGCACGCCUGAGUUUGUGAUUGAAGAUUCAUACCCACUCCUCAUACUUCAUCCUGUUAGUGGCCCAGAAGUCGACAGUGACAAAGCAAAGAUUCAAACCCUGUCUUUGAAUCCAGUCCAGUGGUUCUACAAACUUCAGUUGAGAACGAAAGAAGAAACACUAGAGGGCAAAGAGGAAGAUACAGCAAGAAGGAAAUGCCAUCUC
rnacentral:lncRNA from 1 species